AAUACCAUCAACCCUCUUUUGACUUUGGUCUCGAGAGUGGCUUGGAAGUGGAGGUCUUGCUGGAGCCUAACGGAGCCAGCUCCUCUUAAAUGCAUUAGCGGAUUUCCCUUGCGGGAUCGCGUCUCCGAUGUGACAAUUUCUACGUCGUUGACCAUCUCGGGGCUGACCUAGUCAGUUUCAAUAGGAGUCUGCUUCUAACCGUCUCUUGACUGAGACUAGCGACUUGUGCGCUAACUUUUG
rnacentral:misc_RNA from 1 species